rnacentral:lncRNA from 1 species
GGAAGUACAUAAGUUGCUUCCUGAACUUGUCCCGAAAAUCCAAUUACACAUCGAGGCUUUAUGGGCAAUCUCUUACCCUCCUAAUCUUAUUCAAAGUUAAACUAGAAACCCUCGAGACAUACAUAACUAGUCUCAUGAUGGAAGUUGUAUUAUACUCGCUCUCUGACAUUGCCAUGUUAGAUUGCUAUUUAAUUUUCUUUUUUUCCUUUUUAUUCUUUUUUUCCCGCUUUUUUUUUUCUCCAGUAUAUCUUCAUUUCCUUAUAUUUCUAUAUUACAUGAUAACUUUCCACUCCAUCAAACUCUCUGCAAUCACCUUAUUUCACCCUUUCACCGCCAUCAAGCUGCCACAUUUCCUCCACUGCAAAACCCAUAGCCGUAUUUUCUCCAUUGCAAAACUCUUGACCUCCAUCCUAUAACUCUCUCUCACUGGAAACCUCUCUGCACCUUCAACCUAUAUAGCCACUCCCCCCAACACACCAAAGUCUCACCUUUCUCUCCAUGGACCAGUGUUCUUAAAGGCGAGCGCCUCUCGCCUUUGGCGACAAGGCGAGGCGAGGCGAGGGGUUUGCGCCUAUUUCAGGCAAGGCGUGGCGAGAUCAAAAAGGCGAGCCAAGGCGAGGGGUGACGUGGAAUUGGCGAUGCAAUAGGCGUCGCCUUUUUCUUCUUUUUUUUUAAAAGUCUGAAUUUUAAUAAUUAAAAAGCCAAAUAAUCAAAUUAGGGUUUUUUUUGGGUAUUUUUUCAAACUUAUGUCGCGACUGCUGCUCCUCAUUUCGCGACCGGAGACUUGAAAUCAAUCCCUCGACUGGAAUUAGAGUUCGCGACUGCUGCUGCUGCGAUUGGAAACUUGAAGUCGACUGUCGCGACUGCUGCUGCUGCGAGUUCGCGACUGCUGCUGCUGCGAGUUCGCGACUGCUGCUGCUACGAGUUCGCGUCUGCUGCUGCUGCUGAGCUUGAAAAAGUACAGAGAAGAAGAAGAAGAGGAGGAGUUUUUUCUUNNNNNNNNNNNNNNNNNNNNNNNNNNNNNNNNNNNNNNNNNNNNNNNNNNNNNNNNAAGGGUUUCUCUAGAUAAGUGUGUCCUUUUUUAUUUAUAAAAUAAAUUAUACUUUUAAUAUUUAUUAUAUUUUCUCUCUUCUUUAACAAUUAUACUCCUCUUAUUUUGUAUGUAAUUAUAUCAAAAUAUGCAAUUCAUUAUUAUAUAUAUUUCAUUAAUAUUUUUAGUAAUAUUUUAUUAUAUAUAUAUAUACCCACUUAUUUGGUAUUAAUUGGCGCCUCGAUUCAAAAAGGCGAGCGCCUCGCCGCUCGCCUCGCCGCUCGCCUCGCCGCGUGGCGAGGCAGGCCCUUGUCGCCUUUUGUCGCCUCUCGCCGUCCAAAACACUGCCAUGGACAUAUCUUAUAUCAGGCAGCUUCCAUCCACAGAAAACCCAGGACAACUAGUCUCCAUAGAC